UAAUGCGUGACCGACCUGCCCCAUACACCGGAAUAGCUCCUGGAAACGGGUGGUAAUGCCGGAUGCUCCGACUCCUCGCAUGGGGUGUCGGGAAAGAUUUCAUCGGUAUGGGAUGGGGUCGCGUCCUAUCAGGUAGUCGGCGGGGUAACGGCCCACCGAGCCUACGACGGGUAGCCGGCCUGAGAGGGCGACCGGCCACA
rnacentral:rRNA from 1 species